GCCUACGGGGCGCAGCAGUCGGGAAUAUUGCGCAAUGGAGGAAACUCUGACGCAGUGACGCCGCGUAUAGGAAGAAGGUUUUCGGAUUGUAAACUAUUGUCGUUAGGGAAGAUACAAGACAGUACCUAAGGAGGAAGCCCCGGCUAACUAUGUGCCAGCAGCCGCGGUAAUACAUAGGGGGCAAGCGUUAUCCGGAUUUACUGGGUGUAAAGGGAGCGUAGACGGCGAAGAAAGUCUGAAGUGAAAGCCCGCGGCUCAACCGCGGAAUGGCUUUGGAAACUUUUUUGCUGGAGUACCGGAGAGGU
rnacentral:rRNA from 1 species